rnacentral:tRNA from 1 species
AAUGAAAUGCCUGAAAAAGGAUUAUCUUGAUAGGAUAAAUUAUAUAAAUAAUUAUUUAUUUUCAUUA